GUUUUUCUUGACCAUCAUGGCCACUCUUUCCGGUGAACCAUGAGGGCCAGAUUUUUGUCUCUUUUCUCUUGCGGUUAUGGGCAGGAUGGGAUAUACAUUAACAGCCGGUUGGAUUUGGUGUGCUGACUUCGGAGGUUCAACCAACUGGGCAGCAGGAAUCGCGUUCAAGCUGGAUUCGGAACCGUGCGCAUGAACGUAUCGGCAAAACGUUGGACUGGGGGUGGAACGGGGCAGUGAUGACGAGGACGAUAACUUUUUUUUAUCUGAGUUCCGUUAUCCGAUACCAGCUUCUCCGGUAUCCCCAGAGGGGCUUCCACCGGUUCCUUGACAGCAGCGAUACAGUUGGACUUGUUCUCACAGUGGCCUUGGUGGAAUUGGUUGAGACAUCGCUUGCGCAGGUCAGAAGGAACCACUAGACGUUCGCAGGACAGGAUGCACUCUUGCAGAGUCACGAGCGGGUCGCUUUGAUUGAGGAACCGCUCGAGCUCAUGGUCGGCGCAGGCAGGCAGCGCUUUGGUUAGCCUUCUUGGACGUACCGGUAGAUCUUGUUCAGGACCGGGUCCUUGAGUCUGCUAUCUCGUAUUGUAGCUGGGUGCAAAACGCUGCUCAUUUGACGUCAUCCUCGAGUGAGCAGGGUGCGAUCGUCGGGUUUUACGUGGCGGUUGAUGAGCCAAGACAGAAUGUCGACCUACCCACCCACUGAGAAUUUGGCUCGUGCCAAAAUUCUCAGUGGGCAAACUUGUCCAUGGCCAUGUACAAAUGUUUGAAUCACUCCCGGAAGUACGUGCAAUGAGAAAACAGCAAGCUGAAAGAAUGUUAGUCUAUUUUCAGCGAUUUCGAUGAUCUUGGCCGCGCGAAAACUUGCUUCUGAAGAUGAAAAUUAAGACUGAGGUGAAACAGGUUCCCGAUGGAGCAAAAGGAAGUUGUUGAGGAAAAGGAAACUGACCAAACUUCGAAGUUUUUUUUAACAUCUAUCUAAAUGAGAACAUAGUUCUGCUGCACCUGCGAAUGGACAUGUCAAUCCAAGGCUCAAGAUCGACGGCUUGCUGGAACGUCACCUGAAGAUCUAGGUGUUUAAGCUAGAAUUGGCCAAGUUCUACCAUUACGCCUGCGUAGACAUAUCUGUGUCUACAAGUAGGGAUUGACCGACAGGUUCGCGUUACGAGAAAGAACAUAAAAGGGCGUCGUUGAAGCCGAUGAAACAUCCUCUCACCCUACUCCCCCCGUCCCACCGUUCCCCCUCCCUCCCGUUUGUGUUUUU